AAUACACAAAUGUAUAAUACCUUAAUUCCAAUAUCAGGAGCACAGUCUGUCUUUACCGUAAAUAGCUUCGAGAUUAAUAUGUAAGUUUACUUUGCUAAUCGAUGUUCCUGUAAUUCAGAUUUAAAUUUAUUUGUGAGACCCCCGUCACUAUUUAUAUUCACUCAAAGAAAGGGGUUCUCCGUUACUGGGAAAAUCCAAGGACGUAUUGUGUUAGUUGUCCUUGGAAAAUCUUAUCUGAUUUAGGAUCAAUUUAUCGGUUACACUCCCCUAUCACCAGUGAUUCUUUGUGAACUGACAUUCUGAAAAAGGGCAAGAACAUUAAAGAUAAAGGGAAACUAUAAACAAAAGAAAUUAUCAACAAGAAUAGAUUUACAGACGUCAACAAAGCCUAAAUGGUCAGACAUCUUGGUUUUCAUGAUCAUCAUUCAACAGGUCAAUACUGAACAGCAAACUUAAAGUUGAUAUUUUUCUACAUAGUGUGACUUUUUUAUUAAUUUGAAAUGGAAUGUGUUUUUUUUCCUACAUAAGAAAGAGGAAAUUUCAACAUAAUGACUAUAAACAAAAAGGAGUCAUAUCAUCAUGAUCAUAGAUGCUCAAGAACUUAAUCAUGUAAAUGCAACAAUGUAAUUAUCAAUUGAAAGAAGGGAGGAAUGAAAAAAUAUAUUAGUAUUUUGUUGUCCAAAUGAACUUGCUUUGUCCACUCAUUUAAAUCGCUCCAUCCAAUAAAGAUGUACGGAGGAAGAUUUUUGAAGAACAGAUUGCAAAAAUGUUUUGUUUAAGAAUUGUAGGAAUAUUCUAGUGGAUGAAAUAAUUUAUUUACUUGACUCUUAUAUAGUGGACUGAAUAAUUGUUCAUAGCAAGCUGAAACAAGAAAACUAAAACUUAACAGGAAAAGUGUUUAUUUUAUAAAUUUACAAAUAUAAAUGUAAUAUUAUGAACACCACAUAGGAAUAAGAUUCAAAUCGUUUGCAUAUUCAUGUAUUGCAAUGGAACUAUAACAAAGAAAACUUUACCUCAUGAAAAGAGUAAACUAUUAACUGUGCUUUGUCAAUUUAUUCAGUCAGAAUAUGAAAUAUUUUUUUCAGUUCUAUUUUUCAUAAUAAAACAAAGAAGACAAAGAUUUCAAAUCAAUAUUUUUUUCUUUUAUUAAGACGUCAUCAUUUUAUUUCAGUUAAAGGAUUUUAUUUUUUGACUUUAAAUAUUAUUAUAUUUCCAAAAUAAUAAUAAUCUUUAUUGUCAUAUAAACAAAUUGAAAACAUGUUUGUGACAAAAUGAAAAAAAAACAAAAUACACUCAUAUAUAUAUUAUAAACUUUUUACUACCAAACAGAAUUCAUUGUAACAUACACAUUACUGUAUAUUUAUAAUUUGAAUUCCAUAGGAUUUUAUUUUGUCCCAUGGGAUAUUAAAAAUCCCAUGGGAUAAUUAUAGUCCCAUGGGAUUUUUUUUUGUCCCAUGGGACAACAAAUAUCCCAUGGGACUACAGUUAUCCCAUGGGACCCAAAAAAAUCCUAUGGGAUUUAACCAAAAUCCCAUGGGAUAAUGGUCAAUCCCAUGGGAUUUGCCCUAUCCCAUGGGAUAUUGAAAAUCCCAUGUUUUUGUAAAUCAAAUUACAAAAUAUAUAUAAUAAUAACAGCAGAAAAGCAAUGAAAUUAUUGAAUCCCAUGUAAUUCCGCACAUUUUGGUUAUUUACACGACACUGUAGGUCUAAGGAGAGGCGGCGGCGGAUUUGCAAAUGAGUGUUUUGCAAAUUAAAAGUGUCCAGUG